CACAAGGUUGCUUCCUGUGCCCUCUAAGAUUUGAGUGCCAUUGUUUAGGGUUUGCAAUCGAUUAGAGGUUAAAGAUUAGAGAUUAGAGAGAGCUUUCUUCCGUCCAUUCAUAGAUGAAGAUGUGAUUUGAUUGACUGCUGACUCAUUCAUCCACGUAUCAAGCGAUGGCUUGAUAGAUGAGUGAAUGAUGCAGGAGGUAACUCAGGUCUCAUGCCGUCUUUGUUUGGACUGAAGGGAGCUCCCUCUGUUAUUCAUUAUUUAUUAUCGAUAUUUUAUGUUCUACUAUUUGAUCUUUAUUAGAGAUCGAGAAUUGAAGGUUUGUAUCGAUCGAUCGGAAUCAUAAGGUCAUUGGUCAGUGAUAAUUGAUGACAAGGUUUCCGAAGUCGACGUCAGACUCCUCGGCUGAUGGCGGCGGAGAACGAGGCGGGAUGGAAGCAUAGCGACGAAGAAGGAUAGAGAGCGAGAUCGCCUUCAACUCGUCCUUCGAUUGUCAACCCGUUGCAUCUCAGGUCUGGUUCUUCCGGCUGCAACCGACCGCGGAGAUGCGCUGGAAGCAGAAGGGUGCCGAUGAACAAGGCGGUGCUCUGCUAUCCAAAGGGACGAAGGCGGCGAAGAACGCGCAGGUGAUUCGGAUGCGGAGCGGCGACCCGACAUCACGCCGAAGGAGAUUUUUCUCGGCCCGCCCAUUCUGCUAGAGCUGGAGGCCCCGAUCAAGAUCUGCGGUAUGCUGGCAGAAAAUUGGUUUUUGUUGCGAUUUUGAAAUUCCGUCGCGAUCCUAGAUCCAAUCCAAAGCUCUGUUCUUCGUAUUAGAUCUUUGUUGCCUUUUGCCCAUCAGGGCUUUCAUCCAUGUGCCGAUCUGAUCUAAAACCACCAUUAGAAAUUAGAAAUUGAUCAAGAACAACCUAAAUUAGUGUCAAAAUCUUGUUUCCGCAGCCACUAGAAAAAUCUAAAGGCUGUUGUCUGGUCCUAUACGUGAAUUGAAUGUAUCAUCACCAGUGCCAUUGAAUGAUGUUUAGCUCCAACUAUUUGGUAUUGUCUACACAGAUCUUAUUCCUGUAUCAGCUAAACCCGUGAAGUAUUUCUUAAUCCAAGAAUAGAAUGAAGAUUUGUAUUUUUUUUUUCAUGGAUAUGUUUGUAAAUGGGAGAUGAGCCAUGAAAAAUGAUAAUGCAUGAAUUAGAUGUGUAUGAUUCUACGCUUUGAUUGCUUAUUUGUAAUGACAACCAUGCUUGAUUGAAAUAUCUCAUGACAAACAUGGCUUUUAUCA